rnacentral:rRNA from 1 species
UGAGGAACAUGACCUUCGGCGGGGGAUAGCCGGCCCAACGGCCGGGUAAUACCGCGUACGACCAUUUGGGGACAUCCCCGAGUGGUGAAAGCAGCAAUGCGCCGAUGGAGUGCCUCGCGGCCUAUCAGCUAGUUGGUGGGGUAACGGCUCACCAAGGCGACGACGGGUAGCUGGUCUGAGAGGAUGGCCUGCCACAUUGGGACUGAGACACGGCCCAGACUCCUACGGGAGGNAGCG